rnacentral:rRNA from 1 species
UAGGGAAUCUUCGGCAAUGGACGGAAGUCUGACCGAGCAACGCCGCGUGAGUGAAGAAGGUUUUCGGAUCGUAAAGCUCUGUUGUUAGAGAAGAACGUUGGCAGGAGUGGAAAAUCUACCAAGUGACGGUAGCUAACCAGAAAGGGACGGCUAACUACGUGCCAGCAGCCGCGGUAAUACGUAGGUCCCGAGCGUUGUCCGGAUUUAUUGGGCGUAAAGCGAGCGCAGGCGGUUCUUUAAGUCUGAAGUUAAAGGCAGUGGCUUAACCAUUGUACGCUUUGGAAACUGGAGGACUUGAGUGCAGAAGGGGAGAGUGGAAUUCCAUGUGUAGCGGUGAAAUGCGUAGAUAUAUGGAGGAACACCGGUGGCGAAAGCGGCUCUCUGGUCUGUAACUGACGCUGAGGCUCGAAAGCGUGGGGAGCAAACAGG